GCGGUAUGCUUAACACAUGCAAGUCGAACGGAAACGAUGAANGCUUGCUUUCAGGCGUCGAGUGACGGACGGGUGAGUAACGCGUAGGAAUCUGCCCAGAAGAGGGGGACAACGUGGGGAAACCCACGCUAAUACCGCAUAAGCCCUACGGGGUAAAGCAGGGGAUCUUCGGACCUUGCGCUUUUGGAUGAGCCUGCGUUGGAUUAGCUAGUUGGUAAGGUAACGGCUUACCAAGGCAACGAUCCAUAGCUGUUCUGAGAGGAAGAUCAGCCACACUGGGACUGAGACACGGCCCAGACUCCUACGGGAGGCAGCAGUGGGGAAUAUUGGACAAUGGGCGCAAGCCUGAUCCAGCAAUACCGCGUGUGUGAAGAAGGCCUGCGGGUUGUAAAGCACUUUCAAUAGGGAAGAAAAGGGGCUGGUUAAUAACCAGCCUCGUUGACGUUACCUAUAGAAGAAGCACCGGCUAACCCUGUGCCAGCAGCCGCGGUAAUACAGGGGGUGCAAGCGUUAAUCGGAAUUACUGGGCGUAAAGCGUACGUAGGCUGUUUAUCAAGUCAGAUGUGAAAGCCCUGGGCUCAACCUGGGAACUGCAUAUGAAACUAGUAAACUAGAGUAUGGUAGAGGAUGGUGGAAUUCCAGGUGUAGCGGUGAAAUGCGUAGAGAUCUGGAGGAACAUCAGUGGCGAAGGCGGCCAUCU
rnacentral:rRNA from 1 species